rnacentral:rRNA from 1 species
GAACCGUGCGAACGUUGUUCGGAAUCACUGGGCUUAAAGGGCGCGUAGGCGGUUUGCCAAGUCGGGGUUGAAAUCUUUCGGCUUAACCGGAAAAGUGGCUUCGAUACUGGCAGACUGGAGGGAGGUAGGGGCAGAUGGAACUUCCGGUGGAGCGGUGAAAUGUGUUGAUAUCGGAAGGAACGCCGGUGGCGAAAGCGAUCUGCUGGACCUCUUCUGACGCUGAGGCGCGAAAGCCAGGGGAGCAAACGGGAUUAGAUACCCCGGUAGUCCUGGCCCUAAACGAUGGGUACUGAGUAGUGGACUUGCAUGGGUUCACUGCUGAAGCAAAAGUGGUAAGUACCCCGCCUGGGGAGUAUGGUCGCAAGGCUGAA